ensembl:snoRNA small nucleolar RNA SNORD45
GGUCAGGGAUGAGUGCUGGCAUGUAUUGUCUGAUUUGGAGUUGAUGUCUGUCCUAGCUUUAGCUCUAGAAUUACUCUGAGACCCG